rnacentral:misc_RNA from 1 species
GUAGGUGAACCUGCGGAAGGAUCAUUAUCGAAUAAACUAGGUGGGUUGUUGCUGUCCCUCUCGGGGGAAUCGUGCACGCCUUACCUUCUUUGUUUUUCCACCUGUGCACACACUGUAGGUCUGGAGUGGAAGGGAGGCAACUCCUUAACGUUUCAGGUCCUAUGUAUUUACACAUACACUAUUAAAAGUAACAGAACGAUUCGAUGGGCUCUAAGCCUAUAAACUAUAUACAACUUUCAGCAACGGAUCU